CUGGUGCUGGAUGCUGACUUAGCUCAGCAGGCCACGGUGGCUCCUUGAAGAGAAGUGGCACUCAAGAAAGGGGAAACAUUUUAAAAGGCUCCAAAGCGUGAGGUCUGUAAUGGAUCACAUGAGUGGGCAGCAUCCUGAGAGGUGAACAAACACUACAGAAAAAAGAGCUUGUGACAAGAGCAUUGGAGGGAGAGAAAGAGACUCCUCUGCUCGAGCUGAGACUGCAGCACUGAGGAGGUGUUUAGCAUCUCUGAUGCAGAUUCCCAGGAAUAUAUGUGUUUAAAUUCAAACUUGACCCUAGGAGGAGAAGAACCAAUUUUCUGCUCUUGUGUCAAGCCUGAGUGAUGAUGAAUAGGCAGGACCUGCCUUACAGGAGGGCAAUGCUGGGAAUGGGAAGAGACUUGCCCUGUGUCAGCAGCCAGCAGUUACUACAGAGGAGUGAGCAAAACUGAGGAACUUCUCCAAAGAUGCCAGGCACUUGAUUUAUGAGACACCCUUUCUUCCUCUCCCCUGCCUGUGCCACUGUGUGCAUGAAUACCCAGCAAAGAGCCCAAAGUGCCUCUGGCUCUGCCUCCAAGGGUGGGAGCCUUGCUCAGAGGUGUCCUGCUCUCCACCUGCUGCCUAGGGGUGUCAGCUGCAAGAUCCUGGUUUGCCUUAGGAGGAAACGUGUCCCCAGCCAAGGGGAUGGGAGCAGAGAGGAGAAACGUGGGAGGAAGGAAAUGUUCAUGCACAUGAUGUCUUCCCGGAGUGUUGCAGGGCUGAUACCCAGAAUUGGAACGGGGCUUCUCAAAGUGAUGCUAAAAAGGAGCUGGUGUCUCCUUCCUGGAGAGCUUUCCUUCAGCUCCUAAUUCUGCAGCACUCUGGUGCCAGCCUCUGAGGAAGUCUGUUGGUUUCAUCAAAGUCGUGCUGUGACUCAUGGUCCCUUCUUACAGAAAACAGGCUUUUCCUCCUGAUGAAGACAACCAAUCUUCAAACCCUGUGCUGCCUUCUGGAGAGAUGGAUAUGAAACACAGGCAGAUCCCAAGCCCUGGAGCUGAUCUCCCAGGAAAAUGAGCACCACAGGGAGAAGGAGUGUUGUAAACAAGUGGAAGUGAG